rnacentral:rRNA from 1 species
AGUGAACGCUGGCGGUAGGCCUAACACAUGCAAGUCGAACGGCAGCACAGUAAGAGCUUGCUCUUACGGGUGGCGAGUGGCGGACGGGUGAGGAAUACAUCGGAAUCUACUUUUUCGUGGGGGAUAACGUAGGGAAACCUACGCUCAUACCGCAUACGACCCACGGGUGAAAGCAGGGGAUCUUCGGACCUUGCGCGAUUGAAUGAGCCGAUGUCGGAUUAGCUAGUGGGCGGGGUAAAGGCCCACCAAGGCGACGAUCCGUAGCUGGUCUGAGAGGAUGAUCAGCCACACUAGAACUGAGACACGGUCCAGACUCCUACGAGAGGCAGCAGUGGGGAAUAUUGGACAAUGGGCGCAAGCCUGAUCCAGCCAUACCGCGUGGGUGAAGAAGGCCUUCGGGUUGUAAAGCCCUUUUGUUGGGAAAGAAAAGCAGCAGGUUGAUACCCCGCUGUUCUGACGGUACCCAAAGAAUAAGCACCGGCUAACUUCGUG